rnacentral:tRNA from 1 species
GGGCUAUAGCUCAGCUGGGAGAGCGCCUGCUUUGCACGCAGGAGGUCNCUUCGGGAGGGCGCUUACCA